rnacentral:rRNA from 1 species
GGCGUAGCCUAAACACAUGCAAGUCAACUUGACUGAAGGAGCAAUCUGACAGUAGAGUGGCGCGAAGGGUGCGUAACGCGUAAGUAACUUGCCCAAGGUAAGGAAUAACGUCGAGAAAUCGGCGCUAAUACCUCAUAAUGCAGCGGAUCCGCAUGGAUAUGUUGUUAAAGGUUUACCGCCUUGGGAUAGGCUUGCGUCUGAUUAGCUAGUUGUGUGGUAACGGCACACCAAGGCUACGAUCAGUAACUGGUCUGAGAGGAUGAUCAGUCACACUGGAACUGAGACACGGUCCAGACUCCUACGGGAGGCAGCAGUGAGGAAUAUUGGGCAAUGCUCGAAAGAGUGACCCAGCAACGCCGCGUGGAGGAUGAAGGUAUUCUAUAUCGUAAACUCCUGUGAGAGCAGACGAAAGACAGACUAUUAAUCUGGAUGACUGUAUGCUCAGAGGAAGCCCCGGCUAACUACGUG